rnacentral:tRNA from 1 species
GGUCCGCUAGCUCAAUCGGUAGGGCGUCUGACUACGAAUCAGGAGGUUCCAGGUUCGAGUCCUGGGUGGAUCG